rnacentral:rRNA from 1 species
GCGGUAAUACGAAGGGGGCUAGCGUUGUUCGGAAUUACUGGGCGUAAAGCGCACGUAGGCGGACAUUUAAGUCAGGGGUGAAAUCCCAGAGCUCAACUCUGGAACUGCCUUUGAUACUGGGUGUCUUGAGUAUGGAAGAGGUGAGUGGAAUUCCGAGUGUAGAGGUGAAAUUCGUAGAUAUUCGGAGGAACACCAGUGGCGAAGGCGGCUCACUGGUCCAUUACUGACGCUGAGGUGCGAAAGCGUGGGGAGCAAACA